CUUGAAUAAAAUAAGAGGUCCAGCCUGCCCAGUGAAAUUAUUCAACGGCCGCGGUAUCCUAACCGUGCGAAGGUAGCGUAAUCACUUGUUCUUUAAAUGAGGACUAGUAUGAAUGGCACCACGAGGGUUCUACUGUCUCCUUUUUUUAAUCAGUGAAACUAAUCUCCCCGUGAAGAAGCGGGGAUCUUUAUAUAAGACGAGAAGACCCUAUGGAGCUUUAAACAACCAACAUUUGCUACACCAUAACAUUUUCCCUAAAAGAAGUAUAGCAUUAUGAUUAUUAGUUUUCGAUUGGGGUGAUCACGGAGUAAAAUAUAACCUCCAUGCCGAAAGGGUUCUUACCCUGAGCAAAAAGCCACAGCUUUAAGCACUAAAAAAUUAACGCAGUUUGACCCAAUAUUUUGAUCAACGAAC
rnacentral:rRNA from 1 species